rnacentral:ncRNA from 1 species
GUUGCGUGGGAAAUAGUUGAUAAAGAUAAACCCUCGACAUUGAUCGAUGACGUGAAACAGAGGGUUCCAAUCAAACAUCGAAAGCAUAAAGAGGGGCAAGGAAUUGGCGACGAACAUUUUGCCCGAGCCGAUCAUAUUUGCACGUG